GAUGUGAAAUCCCCGGGCUCAACCUGGGAACUGCAUUCGAAACUGGCAGGCUAGAGUCUUGUAGAGGGGGGUAGAAUUCCAGGUGUAGCGGUGAAAUGCGUAGAGAUCUGGAGGAAUACCGGUGGCGAAGGCGGCCCCCUGGACAAAGACUGACGCUCAGGUGCGAAAGCGUGGGGAGCAAACAGGAUUAGAUACCCUGGUAGUCCACGCCGUAAACGAUGUCGACUUGGAGGUUGUGCCCUUGAGGCGUGGCUUCCGGAGCUAACGCGUUAAGUCGACCGCCUGGGGAGUACGGCCGCAAGGUUAAAACUCAAAUGAAUUGACGGGGGCCCGCACAAGCGGUGGAGCAUGUGGUUUAAUUCGAUGCAACGCGAAGAACCUUACCUACUCUUGACAUCCAGAGAACUUACCAGAGAUGCAUUGGUGCCUUCGGGAACUCUGAGACAGGUGCUGCAUGGCUGUCGUCAGCUCGUGUUGUGAAAUGUUGGGUUAAGUCCCGCAACGAGCGCAACCCUUAUCCUUUGUUGCCAGCGGUCCGGCCGGGAACUCAAAGGAGACUGCCAGUGAUAAACUGGAGGAAGGUGGGAAUGACGUCAAGUCAUCAUGGCCCU
rnacentral:rRNA from 1 species